AUGGGUAGCACGGAAGCCCCAACGCCCGUGCAGGCACCUGUGUGCUCCAUUGUGAACGAAGGCCCACCAGCUCCAGCUGCUUGCUCCAUUGUGAACGAAGCCCCAGCUCCUGCCACUGACUCCAAGCCCAAGAAGAAGAUAUGCUGCGCUUGCCCCGACACCAAGAGGCUGAGAGACGAGUGCAUCGUCGAGUACGGGGAGUCUGCGUGCACCAAGUGGAUCGAGGCUCACAAGCAAUGCCUCCGUGCCGAGGGCUUCAAAGUCUGA
rnacentral:rRNA from 1 species